UACGUAGGGGGCAAGCGUUGUCCGGAAUCAUUGGGCGUAAAGCGCGCGUAGGUGGCCUCAUAAGUCCGCUGUGAAAGUCAAAGGCUCAACCUUUGAAAGCCGGUGGAUACUGUGAGGCUAGAGUACGGAAGAGGCGAGUGGAAUUCCUGGUGUAGCGGUGGAAUGCGCAGAUAUCAGGAAGAACACCCGUGGCUAAGGCGGCUCUCUAGUACGGUACUGACGCUGAGACGCGAAAGCGUGGGGAGCGAACAGG
rnacentral:rRNA from 1 species